rnacentral:rRNA from 1 species
GCUGGCGGCAUGCCUUACACAUGCAAGUCGAACGGCAGCACGGAGCUUGCUCUGGUGGCGAGUGGCGAACGGGUGAGUAAUAUAUCGGAACGUACCCUGGAGUGGGGGAUAACGUAGCGAAAGUUACGCUAAUACCGCAUACGAUCUAAGGAUGAAAGUGGGGGAUCGCAAGACCUCAUGCUCGUGGAGCGGCCGAUAUCUGAUUAGCUAGUUGGUAGGGUAAAAGCCUACCAAGGCAUCGAUCAGUAGCUGGUCUGAGAGGACGACCAGCCACACUGGAACUGAGACACGGUCCAGACUCCUACGGGAGGCAGCAGUGGGGAAUUUUGGACAAUGGGCGAAAGCCUGAUCCAGCAAUGCCGCGUGAGUGAAGAAGGCCUUCGGGUUGUAAAGCUCUUUUGUCAGGGAAGAAACGGUGAAGGCUAAUAUCCUUUGCUAAUGACGGUACCUGAAGAAUAAGCACCGGCUAACUACGUGCCAGCAGCCGCGGUAAUACGUAGGGUGCAAGCGUUAAUCGGAAUUACUGGGCGUAAAGCGUGCGGAAGGCGGUUUUGUAAGUCUGAUGUGAAAUCCCCGGGCUCAACCCUGGGAAUUGCAUUGGAGACUGCAAGGGCUAGAAUCUGGCAGAAGGGGGUAGAAAUCCCCGUGUAGCAAUGAAAUGCGUAGAUAUGUGGAGGAACACCGAUGGCGAAGGGAGCCCCCUGGGGUCAAGAUUGACGCUCAUGCACGAAAGCGUGGGGGAGCAAACAGGAUUAGAUACCCUGGUAGUCCCCGCCCUAAACGAUGUCUACUAGUUGUCGGGUCUUAAUUGACUUGGUAACGCAGCUAACGCGUGAAGUAGACCGCCUGGGGAGUACGGUCGCAAGAUUAAAACUCAAAGGAAUUGACGGGGACCCGCACAAGCGGUGGAUGAUGUGGAUUAAUUCGAUGCAACGCGAAAAACCUUACCUACCCUUGACAUGGCUGGAAUCCUCGAGAGAUUGGGGAGUGCUCGAAAGAGAACCAGUACACAGGUGCUGCAUGGCUGUCGUCAGCUCGUGUCGUGAGAUGUUGGGUUAAGUCCCGCAACGAGCGCAACCCUUGUCAUUAGUUGCUACGAAAGGGCACUCUAAUGAGACUGCCGGUGACAAACCGGAGGAAGGUGGGGAUGACGUCAAGUCCCCAUGGCCCUUAUGGGUAGGGCUUCACACGUCAUACAAUGGUACAUACAGAGCGCCGCCAACCCGCGAGGGGGAGCUAAUCGCAGAAAGUGUAUCGUAGUCCGGAUUGUAGUCUGCAACUCGACUGCAUGAAGUUGGAAUCGCUAGUAAUCGCGGAUAAACAUGUCGCGGUGANUNCGUUCCCGGGUCU